AUACGUAGGAUGCAAGCGUUGUCCGGAAUUACUGGGCGUAAAGGGUCCGUAGGCGGUUUGUUAAGUCUUCUGUGAAAGUUCAGGGCUCAACCCUGAAAUGUCGGGGGAUACUGGCAAACUUGAGACUGUCAGAGGCAAGUGGAAUUCCCGGUGUAGUGGUGAAAUGCGUAGAUAUCGGGAGGAACACCAGUGGCGAAAGCGGCUUGCUGGGACAGUUCUGACGCUGAGGGACGAAAGCGUGGGGAGCAAACAGGAUUAGAAACCCCGGUAGUCC
rnacentral:rRNA from 1 species